AUGUGGCAACAUGAGCCUUUUUCUCGGAUCAAGCGGUCACCAAAACUUAUGGAAAAUUUCCGUAAGAUUAUGUCUAAAUGUAAUUUGUUUGAUUUGGGUUUUCAUGGAGUGCCUUGGACCUAUAACAAUAAGCAGGAAGGUAACAAAAAUGUGAAGGUGCGGCUGGACCGGGCGGUGGUAUGCCCUCAAUGGUCUUCUAUCUUUCGUGACUGCAAGGUAUCAGAUAUUACCAGCUCCAGGUCAGAUCAUUGCCCUCUUCUUAUUGAAUUGAUGGGUGCUCCUUGCUCUGGCGCAUUUAUUAAACAUUUGAAAUAUGAAGCGUAUUGGGAGAGGGAAAAGGUGGCGCUGCAAGUGCAGAUUGACUCGUGUUGGAAUAAAAAUGCUAGAGUCAAUUCUGGGAGAUGUUGCUAA
rnacentral:rRNA from 1 species